UGUGGUGGCGAUAGCAAGAAGGAUACACCUGUUCCCAUGCCGAACACAGAAGUUAAGCUUCUUCACGCCGAGAGUAGUUGGUGGG
rnacentral:rRNA from 1 species